rnacentral:lncRNA from 1 species
GGCGCUUCCUGGGGCCAGACAAGCCCCCUCAUUGGAACCUCCAUGACCGUGCCUCUGAGAAACCAGCACGUCCGCUGUGACCACUCCUAAUUUUCGGAUUCCUAUCGUCUGUCUCCACGUGAUACACUGAAGAGCCUUCACGUUGAUGCAGGUCCAGGGCCUCAAGUGCAGAGACUGAGAGCUCUGCAGGACACAGCAUGGAGCUGCCAUUCCUCUACUGGGUGGAGGAGCAUGUGUCCUCUGAACAGGGGAUCCAAGCCCUGAGAUGUUCUUUCUCAGCUGUCAGUGCGGCCCAGGACUUUCUGUGGGGAUGCUCACAGAGCAGGGGCCGGAGGACUUUUAGCCACCACCUCCCAUGGCCAGUCUUCACAAAUUACCUUUUGCUAAUUUGAUUGUCUCUCCUCCUGGGGUCUAGGACUUCAAACAUGUACAGAAGCAAUUGCAGAAUUAAGACAAGACACUUCCACAAUAUAUUUUUAGUAUCACUGGCUCAGAAAAAG